AAACCCUGGUUUCUCUUCAGAUCUUAUAAAUCUUUCGCCUUUUGCUAAAGAUUUCUGUGGAGAGGAACAGGCAAGAGUGUCGAGGAAUUUUUUUGUAUUUUCUUUUUUAUUUUUGGGGU
rnacentral:snRNA from 1 species